GGGGGUAUAGCUCAGUGGUAGAGCAUUUGA
rnacentral:piRNA from 8 species